rnacentral:rRNA from 1 species
UACGGAGGGAGCUAGCGUUGUUCGGAUAUACUGGGCGUAAAGGGCGCGUAGGUGGCGACCCAAGUCGAUGGUGAAAGCUCGCCGCUCAACGGCGAGUCGGCCACUGAUACUGGGUUGCUGGAGCACUGUAGAGGCAGAUGGAAUUCCGGGUGUAGCGGUGGAAUGCGUAGAGAUCGGGAAGAACACCAGUGGCGAAGGCGGUCUGCUGGGCCGUUGCUGACGCUGAGGCGCGACAGCGUGGGGAGCAAACAGG